AGGAAUAUUGGUCAAUGGACGAGAGUCUGAACCAGCCAAGUAGCGUGAAGGAUGAAGGUCCUACGGAUUGUAAACUUCUUUUAUAAGGGAAUAAACCCUCCCACGUGUGGGAGCUUGUAUGUACCUUAUGAAUAAGCAUCGGCUAACUCCGUGCCAGCAGUCGCGGUAAUACGGAGGAUGCGAGCGUUAUCCGGAUUUAUUGGGUUUAAAGGGAGCGCAGACGGGUCGUUAAGUCAGCUGUGAAAGUUUGGGGCUCAACCUUAAAAUUGCAGUUGAUACUGGCGUCCUUGAGUGCGGUUGAGGUGUGCGGAAUUCGUGGUGUAGCGGUGAAAUGCUUAGAUAUCACGAAGAACUCCGAUUGCGAAGGCAGCGCACUAAUCCGUAACUGACGUUCAUGCUCGAAAGUGUGGGUAUCAAACAGGAUUAGAUACCCUGGUAGUCCACACGGUAAACGAUGGAUACUCGCUGUUGGCGAUAUACUGUCAGCGGCUUAGCGAAAGCGUUAAGUAUCCCACCUGGGGAGUACGCCGGCAACGGUGAAACUCAAAGGAAUUGACGGGGGCCCGCACAAGCGGAGGAACAUGUGGUUUAAUUCGAUGAUACGCGAGGAACCUUACCCGGGCUUAAAUUGCAAAGGAAUAAUCUGGAAACAGAUUAGUCUUCGGACCUUUGUGAAGGUGCUGCAUGGUUGUCGUCAGCUCGUGCCGUGAGGUGUCGGCUUAAGUGCCAUAACGAGCGCAACCCUCGCCGCCAGUUACUAGCAGGUAAUGCUGAGGACUCUGGCGGGACUGCCAUCGUAAGAUGUGAGGAAGGUGGGGAUGACGUCAAAUCAGCACGGCCCUUACGUCCGGGGCUACACACGUGUUACAAUGGGCGGUACAGAAGGCAGCUACCUGGCGACAGGAUGCCAAUCCCUAAAGCCGCUCUCAGUUCGGACUGGAGUCUGCAACCCGACUCCACGAAGCUGGAUUCGCUAGUAAUCGCGCAUCAGCCACGGCGCGGUGAAUACGUUCCCG
rnacentral:rRNA from 1 species